rnacentral:lncRNA from 1 species
AGAAGGUGUGGUUGUUCCAACCAUGAAUCCCGGACCAUAUCCGUCGGUAGUCGUUGACCUCAACGAAUCCGUGGAGGUACUGUCAGACGAGCUAGAUCAUGGCGAUUAUGCCAGUGGAUCAUCAGAUGAUAGCGACGACGACGAAGGAGGUGAUCCUUCUCAGCCUCUUGCCAUUCAGCAGAGGGCCGUGGUGCCCUCAACGGAGAGAUGGACGGAUAGUGACAUAGCCCGUCAUGAUGCCAUGGUACUAGCAUUUCUGAUCAUCUUGCAAUUUUCACCAAUAAUUCGUUGACACAACAAUGUCGGCUUCACGCAGAUUAGAGACAUGUAGGGGCUCCUUGAGAUUGUGUUGGAAGGCCUUCGGAUGGUACCCCCUCUCCCACAUAGCGAAAAGGCAAUAUUAAUACGAAUUUAUCAACGUGUCAAGGAGUUUAUUGAGCUCUGCAGUGGCGCUCGAAUUAAUGGCAUUGUAUGGUCGGCACUACCAGGCAGGGCGCGUCCAAGCCUCACCACUUCAAUGGAUCAUGAGGUAUAUUUGCAAAUUCAUCGUAUCUAACACUUGGUACUAUGCGUGUGUGUGUGUGUAAUAUGUUCUGCUGUGAACCGUGACAGACCGGGACGCGCCAGGACUCAGUGCUAUUGCGUAUGCCAGCCAGCACUCCCUUGCAGCGCUCUCAGUUCAGCGGUUCACAGCCAGAACGUCAGGUGAAGCUCAUACUAAUUUACUUACAUUCACAGUGAUUACAUGUCCGAUCGAUUCAGUAACGAUUGAAUUGGAUACAGUUCGGCUCCGGAGCGAUGGAGGUAGAUAAUCCAUCCCCCGAGACCAGCCCUGGUAGAGGACCUACAGGGCAAUUCUCGUACGAUCAAGGCGAGGGUUCUGACGGCGAGGGAUCUGACGGCGAAGAAUCCACAGAUGUACGAACUAAAAUCGAAAGAAACACAGCCAUUCAGCAAUUUUCACACUAUUUCACAGUACUACUAAUUGUUAGCUUCCUAUUCAUACACAUUCUACUCCUGAAAUUUGCAGGAAGAAGAGUGUGAUGGCCGUGAUUAACCGGAUCUUCUUCACACGGCGGACGUUCAGCGGGAGAUGGGCGAGGGUAUGCUCUUCACAGCAGCACGAGCAGCCCCGAGGAUCUCCUACUAGUACCCUGGAACUUCGCAGGGCCGUGUGGCUCCUUGAUCCGUGGACAAUGUAACGAGCACUACGACAUAUUUCAGAGCUUGUUAAGCUACCAAGUACCUUCGAUUUCCACUCCGUAAUCGUUUUUACGUCCGAUUUCUCGAGAUCUCCCCAGAUAAAUCGCCUCUCUUGUAGUCCUUUGAUCACGACAGAUUUAUCCGUACUGUUGCUCGUCCACGUCUGCGUCAGGUUUACCAUGCGAUGGCAUGCACCUGAUGGUGGCUUACAAUUGGGCAGCACGCAUUGCAGGCAGUAGACGCAUGCGCAUUGUCUCGGCGAAAGCGAU